AUUAGAACAACUUUCUCUCUGUACGGCAGUGGCUAACCUUAGAGGGACUGGGACCACCUUUCAUAACACUUGGGAGAACAUACUUGAGGACAAAGAAGCCAACUGAGGAGAACAGAACUAAGAGACAAACACAAGAGCCUGACCAGACUUAAAAUAUCUGGAUGCAGCCCUGCCUGACAUCAAACCUACCUCUACAUAUUGGAGUUUGAACAAAAAAAGAAGGAUGGGACUUGGAGAGCCUGUGCCAGGGGACACCAUGGCUGCAAGCUUGCCCUUGCAGUGGCAGAAUCUUGGGGCCUGGUUACUCCCUGGACAGAAAAACAACGAGCCCCAGGGAAAAGAGAUCUGCCUGGUCAGCGAAAUGGUGUAAGUGAAAUGCCCCAGAGCUCAGGAGCGCAUAUGGAUGGAUGCUCAGGGCUGAUAUCUGAGCUGGGCUGCAGCCCUCCUCUGGACUGGCUCCCUUCUCCCUCACGGAGGAAACCUAAGCCAAGGAGAUGCUGCAGAGGGGACCAGGUGGCCUGAACCCACUCCCUGGGGCUCAGCCUAAAGCCCAGCGGACAGAUGAUGCCACCCUCCUGUGCUGUGGACACCAAACUUGACGAGGCACAUCGGGGCUGGGUGCCCCGUCGGGCUUGUUGGGGACCUCAAGGUCAGUGCAGACCUGCAGGACUUUGUGGGGUAAGCUCAUUCUAUAUUAGCCUUUUCCCUUCAUCCUCCCAGUGGCUACAGCUGAGCUCGGGCAAAGGUGGGAGCUUAGGUGACACGGUUGUGGAGGGAAGGCCCCACAGGCACAAGUAAGGUACAACUGCUCUCAGCUCCCCCAACCAGUCCUGAACCCCACCUGGAACAGACAGACGGCCCGGCCCAGGCAUAAGGGGGG